rnacentral:rRNA from 1 species
CAAGCGGUGGAGCAUGUGGUUUAAUUCGAUGCAACGCGAAGAACCUUACCUGGUCUUGACAUCCACAGAACUUUUCAGAGAUGAGAAGGUGCCUUCGGGAACUGUGAGACAGGUGCUGCAUGGCUGUCGUCAGCUCGUGUUGUGAAAUGUUGGGUUAAGUCCCGCAACGAGCGCAACCCUUAUCCUUUGUUGCCAGCGGUCCGGCCGGGAACUCAAAGGAGACUGCCAGUGAUAAACUGGAGGAAGGUGGGGAUGACGUCAAGUCAUCAUGGCCCUUACGACCAGGGCUACACACGUGCUACAAUGGCGCAUACAAAGAGAAGCGACCUCGCGAGAGCAAGCGGACCUCAUAAAGUGCGUCGUAGUCCGGAUUGGAGUCUGCAACUCGACUCCAUGAAGUCGGAAUCGCUAGUAAUCGUGGAUCAGAAUGCCACGGUGAAUACGUUCCCGGGCCUUGUACACACC